ACUAAAUAGAUACCCGGGUAGUCCCAGCUGUAAACGAUGCAGACUAGGUGUUUGGACGGCCACGUGCCGUUCUAGUGCCGCAGGGAAGCUGUUAAGUCUGCCGCCUGGGGAGUACGAUCGCAAGAUUGAAACUUAAAGGAAUUGGCGGGGGAGCACCACAAGGGGUGAAGCUUGCGGUUUAAUUGGAGUCAACGCCGGAAAUCUCACCGGGAGCGACAGCAGUGUGAUAGCCAGAUUAAAGGUCUUGCUAGACGAGCUGAGAGGAGGUGCAUGGCCGUCGCCAGUUCGUGCCGUGAGGUGUCCUGUUAAGUCAGGCAACGAUCGAGACCCGCGUCCUCUGUUGCUACCAGUCUUGUGCUGGGCACACUGAGGAGACCGCCGCUGAUAAACGCGGAGGAAGGAGCGGGCCACGGCAGGUCAGUAUGCCCCGAAUCUCCCGGGCCACACGCGAGCUGCAAUGGCAGGUACAAU
rnacentral:rRNA from 1 species